rnacentral:misc_RNA from 1 species
AACCUAGCACACCUGCGGUGUGUACCUGCGGAGGGAUCAUUACCGAGUGUGGUCCCAUAUAAGGGGCGCCUCCCGUCCUUUGCAGGGCCUUUAGGGGCUUUUUGACUUUGCUUCGGCGGGCUUGCCCCGCCGGAACACCCUCAAGAAAAUCUUUAUGAACCGUUUGUCUGAGUUGCUUGCGAAUAAAAACAAAACUUUCAGCAACGGAUCU